AAACCAGCAUCUGACAAUUCAAAGUUCAAUUUUCUAAUGGCCCAAUAUGAUUUAUGCUCUAAUUCAACAGGUAGAUGACAUGCUUUUCCAUAGACUAGCCGAUACGGGGACAUACCAAGAAUAGUUUUAUAAGCAGUACGGUAAGCCCACAAUGCAUCAGAAAGUUUUAAAGACCAGUCUUUGCGUGAUGGAUUCACCGUUUUCUCUAAAAUUUGUUUAAUCU
rnacentral:lncRNA from 1 species